rnacentral:rRNA from 1 species
AAACGAUGAGUGCUAAGUGUUGGAGGUUUCCCCUUCAGUGCUGCAGCAAACGCAUUAAGCACUCCGCUGGGGAGUACGACCGCAAGGUUGAAACUCAAAGGAAUUGACGGGGGCCCGCACAAGCGGUGGAGCAUGUGGUUUAAUUCGAAGCAACGCGAAGAACCUUACCAGGUCUUGACAUCCUUUGACCACUCUAGAGAUAGAGCUUUCCCUUCGGGGACAAAGUGACAGGUGGUGCAUGGUUGUCGUCAGCUCGUGUCGUGAGAUGUUGGGUUAAGUCCCGCAACGAGCGCAACCCUUAUUGUUAGUUGCCAUCAUUUAGUUGGGCACUCUAGCGAGACUGCCGGUGACAAACCGGAGGAAGGUGGGGAUGACGUCAAAUCAUCAUGCCCCUUAUGACCUGGGCUACACACGUGCUACAAUGGGAAGUACAACGAGUCGCUAGGCCGCGAGGUCAUGCAAAUCUCUUAAAGCUUCUCUCAGUUCGGAUUGUAGGCUGCAACUCGCCUACAUGAAGCCGGAAUCGCUAGUAAUCGCGGAUCAGCACGCCGCGGUGAAUACGUUCCCGGGCCUUGUACACACCGCCCGUCACACCACGAGAGUUUGUAACACCCGAAGUCGGUGAGGUAACCUUUUGGAGCCAGCCGCCUAAGGUGGGAUAGAUGAUUGGGGUGAAGUCGUAACAAGGUAACCA